rnacentral:rRNA from 1 species
CCCAAUUGAUUGAUGGUGCUUGCACCUGAUUGAUUUCGGUCGCCAACGAGUGGCGGACGGGUGAGUAACACGUAGGUAACCUGCCCAGAAGCGGGGGACAACAUUUGGAAACAGAUGCUAAUACCGCAUAACAACGUUGUUCGCAUGAACAACGUUUAAAAGAUGGCUUCUCGCUAUCACUUCUGGAUGGACCUGCGGUGCAUUAGCUUGUUGGUGGGGUAAUGGCCUACCAAGGCGAUGAUGCAUAGCCGAGUUGAGAGACUGAUCGGCCACAAUGGGACUGAGACACGGCCCAUACUCCUACGGGAGGCAGCAGUAGGGAAUCUUCCACAAUGGGCGCAAGCCUGAUGGAGCAACACCGCGUGAGUGAAGAAGGGUUUCGGCUCGUAAAGCUCUGUUGUUAAAGAAGAACACGUAUGAGAGUAACUGUUCAUACGUUGACGGUAUUUAACCAGAAAGUCACGGCUAACUACGUGCCAGCAGCCGCGGUAAUACGUAGGUGGCAAGCGUUAUCCGGAUUUAUUGGGCGUAAAGAGAGUGCAGGCGGUUUUCUAAGUCUGAUGUGAAAGCCUUCGGCUUAACCGGAGAAGUGCAUCGGAAACUGGAUAACUUGAGUGCAGAAGAGGGUAGUGGAACUCCAUGUGUAGCGGUGGAAUGCGUAGAUAUAUGGAAGAACACCAGUGGCGAAGGCGGCUACCUGGUCUGCAACUGACGCUGAGACUCGAAAGCAUGGGUAGCGAACAGGAUUAGAUACCCUGGUAGUCCAUGCCGUAAAACGAUGAGUGCUAGGUGUUGGAGGGUUUCCGCCCUUCAGUGCCGG